rnacentral:pre_miRNA from 1 species
CAAAUGUUAGAUACCUCGGCGGGUGGUGCAUUGGUUGACAUGACUCCGGUGGCUGCAAAGACUCUAAUUGCAAACCGAGCACACAAUGCACAACAAUAUGAGGGUGUUGGACAAAG